rnacentral:lncRNA from 1 species
GGGUGCUCCAAGGAGUCGGAGGAACGCGGCCGCGCGACGGGCCCCGGACGCCGAGGGUGGUGCUUCCUCCGAGCCUCCGGUGGUGAGGCCGCUCUCAGAAGGUCAUGGAAGCGCAGGGGAGAGCGAGGCGGCCGAGCCCAGGCAAAUCCUCGAGAAAGGCCGAGUGCGCGACGGCUCUGCGGGGAGGACCGCGCCUCCCCGAAUGCGGCCGCUGCUGCCGCUGCAAACAGUGCCUUGAGGAGAGGAAAGCGGGGAACCGUGUUUUCGCCGCCUCUGUAACCACUGCACACAAGAAAACCAGCUUCUGGGAGAGGGGGAUGAUUGUUGGGACUUUGCGAAUUACCUAAACAGCCCAGGGCCGAGGCGCCGCCGCUCGCGUCCUGGUCCUCCUGCCGGGUGUGGGGCUCCCCUGCCCGAGAUGGCCAGCGGGCGCGCCGAGAGUAUCCUGGAGCCAUCUAGUCUUGCCUCGGAGGCGGGGUGGGCUUAUUUGUGCGGAGAAGAAACGGAUCUCUUAAUGGGGUGAGAUUUUUCCUCCGUACAUUGUUCCCAUUUCCGCAGUUUCACUUGGCCUCGGUUUUCUAGCAGAGUAAUCACCAAAUGAAAUUAGCUGGAGAGCGUUUGAUGGCGCAGAAUCACGGUCUGAAGAUGUUUACGCUGUAUGCCGGACGCGUUUGAUGGUGUUCUCUUCGGCACAAUUAAUUUUGCAAAGUUCAGAAAUGUGCCAGACAGAGCCCCUGGCACGCAGUCAGGACUCUACAGACACACCUUGAGUAGGAAACAGGCUUGUUUGUUUCAUCUGUGAUUUAUGUGAUGCACCAGCACCAAGGCCAACGUGUUUUUUAAAGACCUUUCGAUGAAACUCCAAAGCAAUUUAUAAAUUGGCAAAAUGAAGCUUGUUUUGUAAAAUAACUCUUCCUUGUUGAUCAUGUAAUUAAAUGGGCAACAAAACACCUGAAAGGACAUUUACUGAAAAGUAGACUCCCAAAACAAAAAUAUGUAUUUCACAGCUAGAUACGGUCGCUAUUAGCGUCCUAAUGGCCAACUCCAUCCAUGUGCGUAUUUUGAACACUAAAAACGCCUCCUGUUACCCCUAAGACCUUGUUUGGAUAACAUUUUUCUAUUAUAAGUACUCGAAACCAACCCCAUUUAAGAUGUUUACCCUUAUUCUUGAGUCCUUGAUGGUUUGGGAAAUUUAUCAUUAUUCAUAUUGCACAAUCCUGUCACUGUCUUUUCCAUUAGGCACAGUGCCUAAGGUCCACAAUAUUUUUAGAGGCCCACAAAAAAUAUUUUAAUUUCUUUUCAAAUCAGAAGGAAAAAAAAUUUAGGUUUAAGAAAGUAUUUUAAUAUAUAUUAAUAUAUUUGUUUUUGUGCUAAUACAAUCUUAAAAUGUAUGUAUAUAUGUGUGUGUGUAUAUGUAUAUAUAUUUUAAUGGAGUAAGGGGCUCAACGAAGGCAAAAAGGCCUAGAGCCCAAGAAAAACAUGAUGUGGCCCUGUUGCCUGGGGUUGAAAAAUCCCAUUCCAUGAGAAGAAUUUAGUUUUAAGAAUAUUACAUAAAAUGCUCAUUUCUGUGGCCUUGCUAUAAUAGAAAGAUGGAGAUUCAGAGUAGUGAUAAUGGCUAACAUCCACCUGAUACACACCAUGUGUCCAUUACCUCUUAAUCCUCACAGCACACCUGUGAAAUAGGUACUAUUCUCACACUUAGGGGGUAAUGCAGGUUUUGUGGGGCCUGCAAUUUAUGCAAUUUGGGUGGUCCUCUUAAAGAAAAAGCAAAUACUGUGUAUUAGUCCGUUCUCACACUGCUAUAAAGAACUGCGCGAGACUGGGUAAUUUAUAAAGGAAAGAGGUUUAAUUGACUCACAGUUCCACAUGGCUGGGGAGACCUCAGGAAACUUAACAAUCGUGGUGGAAGGAGAAGCAAGUACCUUCUUCACAAGGAAGCGGAAAGAAUUGUGAGCGGAGGAACUUGCCAAACACAAAACCGUCAGAUCGCGUGAGAAUUCAGUUACUAUCACGAGAACAACACGGGAAAACUGUCCCCAUAAUCAAGUCAUUUCUCUCCCUAACAAGUGAGGAUUACAAUUCAAGAUGAGGUUUGGGUAGGAACACAAAGCCUGACCCUAUCCCACAGCAUGUCCAGGCUGCCCUAGCACCACCCAAUAGAAGGGAAAAUGGCAGAGGGAAAGUCCUAGUGGAAAGAGACCUCAGUCUCAGCUAAUUGUGGUGACAAUAUAUUGCUUUUGCAAAUUGUACAUAAACAUAUGACCAGGUGAAUGUAUCGCCAAGGCUCCUGCCAAGGCCUGGGAUGGAGGCCUAGAGAAGAUGCCCGAAAGUUUAUGCUGUGUGAGCUUCACAGAAGACCUGCCUUCCAUGUAUACCCAUUUUACAGGUGUCUGUGCGGUGCAGAAACUGUACAACUGUAUACAGUGACCAUUUCUACUCUGGGUCUCUAAACAAGGGCUGGUAUCGUUACAGAGACUGAAGACUGAGGAAGACCAUCUCUGUAGGAUGCCAAGGAUUGACUGGAGAAAGUCUGGAGGGAGUCUCGCUGUGUCGCCCAGGCUGGAGUACAAUGGUGCAAUCUCGGUGCUCUGCAACCUCCCCCUCCCGAGUUGAAGCAUUUCUCCCACCUCAGCCUCCAAAGUAGCUGGAAUUACAGGCAUGCACCACCAUGCCUGGCUAAUUUUUGUAUUUUUGUAGAGAUGACGUUUCACCAUGUUGGUCAGGCUGGUCUUAAACUCCUGACCUUAGGUGAUCCGCCUGCCUCGGCCUCCCAAAAGGCACACUUUCAAUCUGGCUCCUGCCACAUUCUACCUAACAUUCCUAGUGUCAGCCAUAGUGAAUCACUGAUAGCUGUUCCCAACCCACUGAGCUUUUUCUCUGCAGGCCUGCAUCACCCGCUCCUGCCCCUUCCCCUGACACCCCUCAAGUGGCUAACUGCUACUCCUUCUCAGCUCCUCCACGAGGUCUGCCCUAACUUCCUCAACACUGGGCUGCUUACCCCUUUUCUGCACUUCCCCUAGCAUAGGAUGUAUCUUACUCCUAUUGUAGCAUUGUUCCCACUUUGCUAUAAUAAUUUACUUCCUUGUCCGUAAGGAACUCUUAGGCAGGCUUCUAUGCCUAGCACAAUGCCUGGUGCAUACUGAAACCUCAAUAAAUAUUGGUUA